CCGCACGGUGUCCCAGCUCCGCUCGGACGGAGCGGACCAGUCGCGUUGAUGAUGAUGAUGAUGAUGAUGAUGCUGCUGCUGCUGCUGCGGGCUGCGGUGCUGCUGCUCGGACUCGGAGUCUCGUGCCCGGCGCAGGUCGCGCCCCCCACGGUGACCGUCAGCCUGGAUGAAGCUCCAGAGGUGCGAUGGGACUCUCUGGGGAAAGUGUUCGACGUGGACUACCUGAGGAAAGCCGCCGCGGAGGUCAUCGACACGACGGUUCCUAAAUGGGUCCAUCGCGCAGUGAGGCCGCUGGUGAAGGACCUCGAAAAGUACAUUCCUCAGCCGUACGGGGGGGAGAUCCGCGGCUUGGCCUCGCACCUGGGAGACAUUUCAGACGUCAUCAUUCUCAACUUUGCCUAUGAAAUAUCUGCAUUCUGCACCAGCAUCGUCGCUCAGGACGAGAAGGGGCACAUGUACCACGGCAGGAACCUUGAUUAUCCACACGCGGUUCUGAGGAAUCUGACGAUGGACGUGAUAUUCAUCAAGAAUGGAAAGGUGGCGUACCGUGGAACGUCUUUUGCCGGAUACAUCGGCCUGUGGACGGGACAGAGUCCCAACAAGUUCACGGUGUCUGGUGACCAGCGAGGCAGUGAACACUUGUGGAACUUGUGGAAGAACAUGGUGUCUGCGCUCCUCUUUCGGAGAUCCCCCGUCAGCUGGCUGGUGAGGGAGACGCUGGCGGAAGCGGAGGACUUUCAGGACGCCGUGAUGCGCCUCGCCAAGAUUCACAUCAUCACCGGGGUGUAUUACAUCGUGGGAGGGACGCGAGCAGGCGAAGGGGUCGUCAUCACCAGAGACCGAACGGGCCCCGCCGACAUCUGGCCCCUGGAUCCCCUGACUGGAGGAUGGUACCGAGUGGAGACCAACUUUGACCACUGGCUCCCGCCUCCAACCAGGGAUCACCGCAGGGACGCAGCCAACAAAGCACUAAACGCUACAGGCCAAGAGAACAUCAGCUUGGAGACCCUUUACCAGGUUCUGUCGCUGUAUCCGGUGUGCAACGGGUAAGGAGAUCUUCAUCCGCCCGAGUGACUAUUUACACGACAUUAAUGAGUGCGGCAGCCCCCGAGAAGUACAACACACUCAUUAGGCCGAAGGGCUGCCCACCGAACUGACGGGCCUCGAGACGGUCGACGCCACACAGGCCGCCGUGCCGUCGUGACGGUCGCACGCCGGUUCACGAUCACGUGAACGUGUGAAUAAUCGACGAUUGCGACGGAAGUGGACCGAGGCAUCGUGAGGGGCGACGCCGCUUUUCUGCCGCUAAUAAAAAUUGCAUCGAUAAUUUUUUUUAGAACCGGAAUUUAUAUGUCAAGCUUAAUAACAUUUUUAAUUGAUUGCCAAAUUAAAUUAUAUGGUUGUUCAUAUUAAGUAAUAUGACAACUUCCAAAAACCAAUGGAUGUUUUUUUAGAAAAGAUCAUAAUGACUUGACCUCCAAAAGUAACAUUCCAAUGUCCCAAAAACCUGGAAUUAUUCUGGUGUGCCGAUGAUUGCUGUUUAAUGACAGGAAGAAAGAUGUACUACAUCAUGCUUUCUCCAGUAACCGUUGUCAGAUUUAUGAUUUAUGGAUGUUGUAGACAAUGAAGGUCUAUUUUUUUACUUUAAUAAAUGGUGGUUGUGAUUUCUAUGAA